AUUGAACGCUGGCGGCAGGCCUAACACAUGCAAGUCGAACGAGUGGCGGACGGGUGAGUAAUGUCUGGGAAACUGCCUGAUGGAGGGGGAUAAAUACUGGAAACGGUAGCUAAUACCGCAUACCAUCAGAUUUGCCCAGAUGGGAUUGGCUAGUUGGUGGGGUAACGGCUCACAAAGGCGACGAUCCCCAGCUGGUCUGAGAGGAUGACCGGCAACACUGGAACUGGGACACGGUCAAGACUCCUACGGGAGGCAGAAGUGGGGAAUAUUGCACAAUGGGCGCAAGCCUGAUGCAGCAAUGCGGCGUGUAGGAAGAAGGCCUUCGGGUUGUAAAGUAUGUUCAGCGGGGAGGCGUUACCCGCAGAAGAAGCACCGGCUAACUCCGUGCCAGCAGCCGCGGUAAUAC
rnacentral:rRNA from 1 species